rnacentral:lncRNA from 1 species
AUGAACGUUAAUGAAGAAGACACGACAAGGAGAGACAUGUAUGCGCUUGUGAAAUGGUGUGCCGGGGUUGAUGAGGGGAAAUUUAGUAUUGUUCACAUUAAAUACAUACGAAAUUUUGAUCUGGAAAGUUUUGUAAACGGCGUGAUUACAUACGAAGACGAAUUUGCCGUCGAGUGGGGUGUGGGAAAACGACCAAAAGGUGGAUUCCCCAUUUAUAUGGCUACCGUUCAAUCAGUUGGAGACAUGAAUACUUUGGAGCGAAAGUUGGACAAACGUUCGAAGAAAGAUUCCGAAGACAACGCCAUUGUGGGAAAGAGAAUCCGUGUUGCCAAACGUCUGUGGGAGGAUGAGGAUGAGGAUGACCCCCCUACUGCCGUGGCCACAGUCAGUGGAACCAAAGCUGCCAUUCACAAUCAAGGGGCUGAAAUCCUAGAUUCCAUUUCCUUGGAAGAACAAGCAGAAAAUAGUGACAACGAGCUCUCACUUGUGCGUCAAGAAUUGCUAGAAAUAAAAAAAUUCAUCUUUACAGAGAUACCUCAGAUAAAAGAAAUGCUCAACAGAAGCUCCAUGCACCUCGGCAGUCCAGGGUCUCUCCCCAGCCCUUCAAACCCUGUUCAAAUAGAAGAAAUUGUCCCAGGUUCAGGUGUUUACGUAUCACGAAGUGUGUGGCGCUCUGCUUGCCAGGCAUCUAGUGGGACUUCAAUGGCAAGGAUUUUGCUGCUUGGGGUGUUUGACAUUGAAACGCUCAUCAAAAGUAAUUUGAGAGGAGGGGAAUCCAAGGUUUCAAAGGGGGGAGAUGGGGAGAAAAGAAGCGCCCUGGAUGAAAUAAAAGUGAAAGCUAUAAUGGAUGCUGUUAUGUCAAGACACUCAGUUUCGACUGGCCAGAUCGGAGCAGCCCUGAAUGGGAAGAUGGCAGAACUAAGACUGGCAAUGUCCAGGAAAAAUGUUCAUUAAAAAUGAGUGUUUCCCGAGUGAGUCAAAAAUCUGAAGUUGAAAUUAAAAAGUUUUUACUUGAAAAGUUUGUAUACUGAACAAAAUGCAUUAAAGUUUUUAUUUGAAAAGACCUGGAAUUGUGUGUUCUGAACAAAAUGCAUUAAAGUUUCUAUUUGAAAAGACCUGGAAUUGUGUGUUCUGUGGAAUGAGUAUAAAUAUAUAUGCAGGAUGUAUAAAAAACAUAGUUGUACCACUAAUAUAAGUGAAAGUACAUGGUGUCAUCAUAUAAGAAGCAUAUUUGUAUCCCUAAUAUAAGUGAAAGUACAUGGUGUCAUCAUAUAAGAAGCAUAUUUGUAUCCCUAAUAUAAGUGAAAGUACAUGGUGUCAUCAUAUUAGAAGCAUAUUUGUAUCCCUAAUAUAAGUGAAAGUAUGUACUCUAGAAAUAAAUACAUAUAUGCAUGUAUACAUAUAUGCGUCUUGCAUAUAUUUCACAUAUAUGUGCAUAUAUGCGAAAAUAUAUGGCACUUACAUGAAAACGGCCAUUUUUGAUAUAUUUUGAAAUAUAUGUUUCAUAUAUGUCUAUGUGUUUUACAUAUAUGAGUUUUGCAUAUAUUCUCAUAUAUGCAGCAGACAUACAUGGGCACUGAUAUUAUAUAUGUAAUUUACAUAUAUUGACAUAUAUUACAUUUCUGUAUGGGGGAAGUGGCUGACUUUGGG